GGGGGAUAUUGCACAAUGGAGGAAACUCUGAUGCAGCAACGCCGCGUGAGCGAUGAAGGCCUUCGGGUUGUAAAGCUCUGUCUUCGCUGACGAUAAUGACGGUAAGCGAGGAGGAAGCCACGGCUAACUACGUGCCAGCAGCCGCGGUAAUACGUAGGUGGCAAGCGUUGUCCGGAAUUACUGGGCGUAAAGGAUGCGUAGGCGGCCUCUUAAGUGGGAUGUGAAAUGCCGGGGCUUAACCCCGGAGGUGCAUUCCAUACUGGGAGGCUAGAGUGCAGGAGAGGAAAGCGGAAUUCCCAGUGUAGCGGUGAAAUGCGUAGAGAUUGGGAGGAACACCAGUGGCGAAGGCGGCUUUCUGGACUGUAACUGACGCUGAGGCAUGAAAGUGUGGGGAGCAAAC
rnacentral:rRNA from 1 species